UCCUCCUCCUCCUCCUCCUCCUCCUCCUCCUCCUCCUCCUCCUCUCUCUUGCUGUUUAUCUGACUGACUGGUUCUGUGUGUGUGUGUGUGUGUGUGUGUGUGUGGUGCUGCCUAUAAUACCGGUAGGUUGUCUUGGGGAGCCUCUUCGACGGCCCAGCUCUGUAGUGGCGCGGGCGAAUUUUUUUUAUAGUGGCUGCCGUGUUGUAUGACUUGCCUGGCCCAUGCUACCCCCCGGCUCUUCUCUUGACCGAAGGCGCUGAAGUUAGGGUUGAUUGAAGAUGUGGGCAGCAUGUGGGUAACCCUCAGACACUCCGCGAUGGUUGAAAACUCAGUGUGCUUCGGUGGAACUUAAACCUCGGUCUGUGUGUGGUUUUGAAUGCUGUCUCUUACCUUAACCCGUCUCGAUAUUAAUAAAACGCUAAAAGAGAGAAAGAAACCAGAAGGAAGGAUAACAAAGAGCAAAGUCAACAGAAAACACAAACAGUAACAACAACAACAGCGUGAGAUCAAGAAAAACGUAACACGCAGAGCCAAAACGAAGAACAGGUCUCACUACUUCGGCUUCCGGGCAACCGAGCGGCGUCUCCCAUAACGUCUGCUUUGUUACUAUGGCAGGGCGGAGCGGCAGACGGGUGGGUGGGCAGGUGGGCGAGCACGUGACUGAUAGCUUAAGGGUCUCCUAUUCUUUGUUAGGUCUGUAGCGUUUGACUGAUAGCUUAAGGGUCUCCUAUUCUUUGUUAGGUCUGUAGCACGUGACUGAUAGCUUAAGGAUCUCCUAUUCUUUGUUAGUUUUGUAGCAUUUGACUGAUAGCUUAAGGGUCUCCUCCUGUCUGUUAGUUCUGUUAGUGUAUUAGUUUGUUAGCUCUUGCCUUUUAGUGUUAGUUAAUGUUGGAUCAUGUUAGUGGCACAAAAAUUCGAUGUUGCUUUGCUUGCUUCGUGUAUAUUUGUCUUGUUUGUUUCGCGGUGUGUGUCUCUGUGAGCCCUCCCUUACCUCCUCCUUCUGUUAUUACUAUUCCUCCUCUUCCUCUUCCUCCUGCUCCUCUUCCUCCUCAUCAUCAGUUUUUGUCAUCAUCAUCGUGUUGGUCAAAAAUACUGGUCCUGAGGCAUCUGCGAGGUGGCGGCAGCGAAGCAGACCAUUAGAGAAAAUGAGUUGCCCGUACACAGUCUUGUCCCGAAGCCGCUGGUAUAGAAAAAACAAGUAUUCUUUUUUUCAUUCUUAAGAAGUUGCGUCGUUUCUCCGUCUUACAAGCGUUGCGUAAUAAUGUCACAAGGGUACAGCAAAGGCAGAGAUGAGAAUAUACCCUUAGAUACAUACCCUUUGAGCCUGUGGUGGGAUAGACCAUUAGCCCUUCCCCAGGUACCCCCGAAACAAGGAUGAACAGCUGGGUCGGCCACAUGUUGACUGCCUAUACCGGGACUCGAACCUGGGCCAGCAGAUUUGUAGUCAGGGAGGCAAAUCACAGCACCACUACGAGAAAAUAUGUCGUAGUUUGUUUCUUCUUUUUUUUUUCUUUAGUUGAUUAGUUUGUUCGUUCUUACCCAUAGAAGUCUUGCCUCACCUCCACCACAACCACCACCACUGCUACCUCCACUACCACCACCACCAUCACUACAUCCACCAUCCCCUCCACCUCUCAUAUCUUCGGUCACGUCCACCUGCACUGCUAUUACCCAACUCCUCCUCCUCGUCUUCCUCCACCGCCAUCUCUUCUACAUUCACACAAAAAACGUCUUCCUUUACCCCGGGGCGCCACUGGGUUAGUUUCAUCACAGGGUUGCUCACCGCCUUCCCCUACGUCUAAGAAAUGGAUAGGAAUGUGUGUUUUUAUAUACCGCCCCUAUUCUCAAACAUUUCGGGGGAUACACACCCACAUUUGGUAAGGCAUUGAUGGAGGUUGUGUUGGUAUUUCCAUGGGUAGUUUUAUGAGCCUAGUGAUAGUUUGGCAAUACUUCUUAACCUUGCAAUCACCUAUAUCAUCUUGAGACUUGUUCCUCUGAUUCUAAGGCUCUUAUUCUCAAACAUUUCGGAGCAGACAUACCCACAUUUGGUAAGGCAUUGAUGGAGGCUGUGUUGGUAUUUCCAUGGGUAGUUUUAUGAGCCUAGUGAUAGUUUGGCAAUACUUCUUCACCUUACAAUCAUCUAUAUCAUCUUGAGACUUGUGUUCCUAUGAUUCUGAGGCUCCUAUUCUCAAACAUUUGGUAAGGUAUUGAUAGAGGUUGUGUUGGUAUUUCCAGGGGUAGUUUUAUGAGCCUUGUGAAAGUAAUGGUUUGACAAGGUUUCUGCACCAUGAAUGUGGAAAUAGGGCUUUGGUAUGGGUUGUGUUGGUAUUUCCAUUGGUAAUUUGAUGAGCCUAGUGAUAGCGGGAAUAGAGAAUGCGAUAAUAAGGCUUUGUUAGCGGUUGUGUUAAUAUUUCCAUGGGUAGUUUUAUGAGUCUAGUGAGAGUUUGACAAGGCUUCCGGACCGUGAACGUGAAAAAAAGCACUCACGAGAACCCGACUCCUUUUUGUUUUUGGAAGAGAGAGAGAGAGAGAGAGAGAGAGAGAGAGAGAGAGAGAGAGAGAGAGAGAGAGAGAGAGGGGGGGUAAGGAAGUAGGAGAACAUAGAUGAAGAGGAAGAGGAAAGGGAGGAAGAAAAAAAGGAAGGUUGAAGGAAUGGAGUGUAUUGAAGAGAGAGAGAGAGAGAGAGAGAGAGAGAGAGAGAGAGAGAGAGAGAGAGAGAGAGAGAGAAAAGAGACCCACGGUGGUAGAAACAGCUGAUGGGAUAGACCUAAGGAAUGCAAUGGGUUGUGUGAACGACUCAAACGGGUUCUGUUCCUGUCGUUUUUAAAGUUUACCGUUUGGUUGUCUAGGGGGACUUUGGUUGCCGGUUCAUUUCCUUAGGCCUCUUUUUUUAUUUAUUUUAUUCAUUUCUUUUACUUAUUUAUUUAUUUAUGUAUUUAUUUAUUUAUUUUUGGUGUAUGGACAAGUGGUGUUGAUCUUGUGGUGGUUAAUGUGGUUUAUCGUUCACUGACGUCGCUGGUAUUCAUAGUUCAUAGUUCACUCGCUUGUCUGUCUGUCUCGUUCGGUUGUUUUGCUAUUCCUUGGUCAUGAUUCUCUCUCUGCUCCACUUGUUUCAAAGGCGAAGUAUUGUCAGUUCGUCUUCGAGUCGCUUGGAUUGCUACCUCGUGUCGCAUUGAAAUUUCUAGCAUUGGCAGAGGUGUGAUGGAUUGGUACUUCAUGUUGCAUUGAAAUUUCUAGCAUUGGCAGAGGUGUGAUGGAUUGUUACGUUAUGUCGCAUUGAAAUUUCUAGCAUUGGCAGAGGUGUGAUGGAUUGGUACUUCAUGUUGCAUUGAAAUUUCUAGCAUUGGCAGAGGUGUGAUGGAUUGUUACGUUAUGUCGCAUUGAAAUUUCUAGCAUUGGCAGAGGUGUGAUGGAUUGGUACGUUAUGUCGCAUUGAAAUUUCUAGCAUUGGCAGAGGUGUGAUGGAUUGUUACGUUAUGUCGCAUUGAAAUUUCUAGCAUUGGCAGAGGUGUGAUGGAUUGUUACGUUAUGUCGCAUUGAAAUUUCUAGUAUUGGCAGAGGUGUGAUGGAUUGGUACUUCAUGUCGCAUUGAAAUCUCUAGUAUUGGCAGAGGUGUGAUGGAUUGGUACUUCAUGUUGCAUUGAAAUUUCUAGCAUUGGCAGAGGUGUGAUGGAUUGGUACUUCAUGUCGCAUUGAAAUUUCUAGCAUUGGCAAAGGUGUGAUGGAUUGGUACUUCAUGUUGCAUUGAAAUUUCUAGCAUUGGCAAAGGCGUGAUGGAUUGGUACUUCAUGUUGCAUUGAAAUUUCCAACAUUUUCAGUGACUUAAUUUAGGACCGUGUUCACAUAAGUCUUUGAGCUUGCCUUUCCUCCUCUUUACUUUCUUUUUCUCCCUCUUUUACCUCUUCUUUACCCUUUCUUUUUCUUCCUUUAUAUUUUCUUUAUCGGUAGUUUUUAGUUCGUCUUCACAUCAUUACUUGUCAUCAUCUGUAAUCUAAGACCACAGAUACAUAUAUACGUUUUAAACCUUCCCUUCCUCACUCAGUAGUUCAGGAGGGAUGUUUGGCCUCAGUAACAUCAUUGCCUUGACGUCGCAUGCUUCUCUCAUCAGGGUCAGGCGUGCCAGUGCUCCGAGAUACUGUUUUCAUCCCUUUUUACUAUUCUCGAAUCACGUUAAACUAUUGGGUGACGUCAGUGGGCCUACUUCACAUGCUUUAGAGUCCGAGGUCAGGCGUACGUGUCCUGGAGGCCUUGUUUUUACAUUUGUGGCUAUAUUAUUAUUAUUAUUAUUACUUUUCAUUUACAACAAAGGAGACAGCUCAAGGGCACAAAAAAAGGAAACAAUAAUAAUAAAAAUCCCGCUACUCGCAAUCCCGCAAAACCCGCUACUCAUUAGUCAUGUUUUUUCUGCUUCAUUUGUUUCAUAGGCCAAAUAUCAUCUAUUCGUUUUCAUUCGAGUCGCUUGGAUCAGUACUUGAAGCUGCAUUGAAAUUCCCGUGCUAGAAUUAGAUUAGUAUUUAAAGUUGCAUUGAAAUCUCCUUGCUAAAACUGUACUUACCUUCAAUGUGGAGGUGGAAGAGUAAUGCUAGAGGGAAUGUAGCGGAGCGUGGGAGCGUGAUGGCUAAGACUCUAAUGGUGCGUGUUAAUCCUCAAGAAUCUAAUGGGAGGUGGAAGUGCAGUGCUUAAGAAUCUAAUGUGAAGCUUAUGGAAUCCCUUGGACAUCGGGCGACGCACUCAAAGCUCAAUCCAUGGCUGUCUUGAGGGUUGAGUAAGGAGGGGGGGGGGGUAGGUUAAGAGGUAGUGGUUAGAAUCAAAGAGUUGUCAUAAGGGAUCAAGGGAAAUAAGUGAAGAGUUUAUGAGUGGGAUCGAAGGGGGUAUUGUCUUGGGUGUGAAGAUGGGAUGCGUGGAAUCGAAG